rnacentral:rRNA from 1 species
AUGAUCAGGGCAACAACGGGCGCGUUGAUGGGGGUGAUGACCCCCGUUCUUGGAAAGCUCACAGCUCUACUCAAGGAGUAUGACAGGCUCAAAGGCCUCCAUCCUCGGAUCACUUCUCUGAGAGAUGAGCUGCGCAGCAUAAAGGCUGCCUUGGAGGAUCUCUCACAGCUGGAGGAGCCCAGCUUGCAAGUGAAGGAGUGGAUGAAUCAACUGCGGGAGCUGUCCUACGACAUUCAGGACUGCAUCGACGACUUCGUGCAUGGCCCUGUCCAGGACGGUGCCCAUGAUGGCCUUACAAGUAAGAUUGCUGGCUGGCUCAGGACGAUCCAACAUUACCACCAAAUAGGUGGCAACGUUGAUAAGCUCAAGGAGCGUGCGGUAGAGGUUAAUGAUCGGCCCAAGAGGCUCAAGCUGGAUGUUGUGCCCUCCUCUUCUAGUGCCAUGGCAAUUGAUCCUAGGUUGUCGGCCCUCUUUGAGGAGGCUGACAGGAUCAUAGGAUUUGAUGGUCCAAGAGAUGAGCUCGUCAAUGUGCUCGUUGGUGAAACUGAUUUAGUACAGGAACGCCGUGUCAUUUCUAUCGUUGGCGCCGGAGGCAUUGGCAAGACAACCCUUGCCAAUCAGGUAUACAAGGAAGUCAAAAGUCAAUUCCAGUUUGCAGUUUUUGCAUCUGUGUCCAGGACUCCUGAUGUCAAAAAGAUCCUAUCUGGUGUGUUGUUGGAAAUUCUUGAUGGAAGCAACGCAAUGUCGGUUGAUGACAGUCAACGCAUCAAGGAAGACCUCAGUUCGUUAAAAGUGGAAUACAAUCAACUUGUUCAAAAAAUUAGAGAAAAUCUCCACAAUAAAAGGUAUUUUGUCCUGAUUGAUGACAUAUGGAGUAAACAAGCAUGGAAAGACAUCCAAUGUGCUUUUCCCUAUAAUAAUAAUGCAAGUUGGAUAAUGACGACUACACGUAUUCAGGAGGUUGCUGAAUCUUGUAGCUUUCCGCAAGUAUACUACGUUUAUCCUAUGAAGCAUCUUGACAAUGAUGCGUCAAAAAGAUUAUUCUUGAAAAGGAUCUUUGCCCAUGAAGAUGAUUGCCCAUUUGAAUUGAAAGACGUUACCUAUGACAUACUAAAGAAAUGUGACGGCUUGCCACUUGCUAUAGUUAACAUGGCGAGCCUACUUGCAACAAAACCAACCACAAAGCUGGAGUGGGUGAGGGUGCGUAAUUCUCUUUAUUCAGCACUGGAACAAGACAAUGAGUUGGCAGUAGUAAGAAGGAUAUUGCUUCUGAGUUAUUAUGACCUACCUUGCUAUUUGAAGAUGUGUCUAUUGGACCUAAGCGCAUUCCCUGAGGACCAUGAGAUUGAUUGUGAGCGUCUAGUAUGGAGAUGGGCCGCUGAAGGAUUAGUUGUUGCCCAACAAGGGCAAAACGUUGAAGAAAUAGCAGAAGGAUAUUUUAAUGAGCUCAUCAACAGGAACAUGAUCCAAUCGGAGGAAAUUAACACCGAUGGAAGAGUGACGAGCUGUCGUGUGCAUGAUAUCAUGCUAGAUCUCCUUAUAUCCCUGUCGAGUGAAGAAAACUUUGUUGCUAUAUUAAAUAGCCAAAAGUGUACAACUUCGACAUACAAGAUUCGACGCCUCUCCCUCCAAGGCAAUUGUGAAGAGCAUCAUAUGUGGCUGGACACUGGUAACUUUUCUCAUGUCAGGUCAGUCAGUGUGUUCGGUGAUUGUAAGCGGCUGCCCCCGCUCAUUGGCCUCCAAACUUUACGGGUACUAGAUGCAGUGGACUGUAAUCAAUUAGAGGAGGAUAAUGUGUAUAUUGAGGAUAUUGGAAGUCUACGUCAAUUAAGGUAUUUAAGUCUUGGGCCCUUGUUCAGCAGGCUUCCAAGAGAAAUCAAGAAUCUACGGUUACUACAGACACUAGACCUGACUAGAGCAGAUAUAAGAGAAUUGCCCGCAUCCAUUAUAGAACUGCACCAAUUGGUGCGCCUGUUUGUGAAUGUUUGCGUGAAAUUCCCAAGUGGGUUUAGCAAUCUGAGAGCUCUUCAGGAGUUGAAGUGGUUUGGUUGUGACAAUAAUUCCUUAGACGUUGUGCUGGAGCUCGGACAACUAUCUAAACUGAAGAAGCUGCACAUAUGUUGGGGUAUUUUUGAUGAUACAAAUGGUGAUGAGGAUAGAUACAAGAAAUGUUUUCUGUCGUCACUAUGCAAGCUAGGGGAAGGCAAUCUUCAAACUCUACAUAUUGAUGGUUUACUGCGUAAUGUAGAUUCCUUGAUUGACUCAUGGUGCCCUCCUCCACGUCAUCUCCAAGAUUUUGAGAUUGGGUCAAUUUCCCAUACGAUUCCCAGUUGGAUCUCCUCUCUGUCCGCCCUCAUGUUUCUAUGCAUCACGGUGGAACAACUGGAACAAGAAGAUAUGCAGGUGCUCAAAGACUUGCCAGCCCUUGUAAGCCUCACCCUGGAAGCAAGCAAUUCAAAAGAAGUACUCACCAUCAACCGUGGUGGAUUUCAGUGUCUAAAGCAGUUUUCUUUUGUCCUCCGGUUUUGGGCUAGUGAUGUAGGUUCGGCACCCAUUGUAGACAAAACGCGUGGGCCGAAUCUGUUGUUUGGAGAAGGAGCAACACCAAAGCUAGAGAAGCUUAGUAUUCACUGUCGGGCACGUGAUAUGGUAUCUGCAGAAGGUGUUGCUUCUAAUUUUGGCAUCUCGCACCUUGCCUCCCUCAAGCAACUCCGUGUUAGCAUUGCUUGUAGCGGUGCGAGGUUAUGGGAGGUGGAGGCCACGUUGGAUGCCAUCCACAAUGCUUGCACUCUUACUCCCAAUCCUAACCUCCAACUUGAGACACUUGUAUUUUGGAGUGAAUAUAUGGCAAAGGAUGAGGAGCAUAAGCAUGACACCUAUAUUGCCAAAGAGGACCAUGUAGUGCAACUACAAGCAGCUAGUUCCACGAGUCCGGUACCUGAUAGAAGAGUACCAUUCACAACAGUUAAAACUUGA